GUAAGAAUGAAUCAGUUUAGAGCAGGCCAAUGCAGUCCCUGAGGUAGAUAGCAUUUGUUUCCGAAUAACAGAGUUGUUCCCUGGUGGUAUCUAAAGGACAAAGUUAGUGUCUCCACAGAUUAUAAUUUUGCCUUUUUUUAGUUUUGUGAGUUUGUCUAGAAUGAAUUGCAGAUACUUAACUUGUCCAGAAUUUGGAAAAUAAACAUUGAUUAUAGUGUAAUCAAUUGC